UAAGCCUGUGAAGGUGGCCUGUGAGGGUUGCUGGAGGUAUCAGAAGUGCGAAUGCUGACAUAAGUAACGAUAAAGCGGGUGAAAAGCCCGCUCGCCGGAAGACCAAGGGUUCCUGUCCAACGUUAAUCGGGGCAGGGUGAGUCGACCCCUAAGGCGAGGCCGAAAGGCGUAGUCGAUGGGAAACGGGUUAAUAUUCCCGUACUUGGUGUUACUGCGAAGGGGGGACGGAGAAGGCUAUGUUGGCCGGGCGACGGUUGUCCCGGUUUAAGCGUGUAGGUGUGUGUUCCAGGUAAAUCCGGUU
rnacentral:rRNA from 13 species